AGUUGAUCUCUUCGGAGUGAAGCUAGCGGCGGACGGCUGAGUAACACGUGGGCAACCUGCCUCAUAGAGGGGAAUAGCCUCCCGAAAGGGAGAUUAAUACCGCAUAAGAUUGUAGCUUCGCAUGAAGUAGCAAUUAAAGGAGCAAUCCGCUAUAAGAUGGGCCCGCGGCGCAUUAGCUAGUUGGUGAGGUAACGGCUCACCAAGGCGACGAUGCGUAGCCGACCUGAGAGGGUGAUCGGCCACAUUGGGACUGAGACACGGCCCAGACUCCUACGGGAGGCAGCAGUGGGGAAUAUUGCACAAUGGGGGAAACCCUGAUGCAGCAACGCCGCGUGAGUGAUGACGGCCUUCGGGUUGUAAAGCUCUGUCUUUGGGGACGAUAAUGACGGUACCCAAGGAGGAAGCCACGGCUAACUACGUGCCAGCAGCCGCGGUAAUACGUAGGUGGCGAGCGUUGUCCGGAUUUACUGGGCGUAAAGGGAGCGUAGGCGGACUUUUAAGUGAGAUGUGAAAUACCCGGGCUCAACUUGGGUGCUGCAUUUCAAACUGGAAGUCUAGAGUGCAGGAGAGGAGAAUGGAAUUCCUAGUGUAGCGGUGAAAUGCGUAGAGAUUAGGAAGAACACCAGUGGCGAAGGCGAUUCUCUGGACUGUAACUGACGCUGAGGCUCGAAAGCGUGGGGAGCAAACAGGAUUA
rnacentral:rRNA from 1 species